CGAGGGAUGCUGUGGCAGUACCGCGGCGCGCGCGCAGCGAACGCACGCGUUUACACAAAUCACAACUGUAUCUAUAUAGAGAUAUAAACCAUGUUGCGGCAAGUGCUAUUAUUCGCAGUCUUCCUACAGACGGGCAAAAAUGUUUUGGUCCACUCCGCAAAACAGCAAGUCCAGCUCUCAGACUCGUAUCUGCCCGUCGCGAUGCAGAUCAUUGCACAUCUAACGGACCAGAUGUCGUUCGAGGUCAAGGACGACGUCCCCCAGAAACCCCCAUCCACCACCCCCAA